UAUAGAUCUGCUUUCAACAACAAGGCGUAUGACGAGUGGUUACGAUUGCAUGACUGUCUAUGCCUUAUGUUAUGUUGCAUUAUAUUACCAUAUUUUAUGUUAACCAUUCUGUUAAGCGCUUUGUUACAGCUGCAGUUGUUGUGAAAGCGCUAGAUAAAUGAAGAUGUUGUGGAAAUUGUUGCAACGCGAAGAAGGCGACAAUUUCUCACGUUCGCUCUCAGAGAGAGUGUGUCAUUGUUUUAUUAGCACCAACAGCAGCAAAACUCCCCGCGCCAACCGAGACCCGUCGAAAGUCGGUUUCCAUAGAAACCAGCAGAUAAACAUGGCGGUCCUUAAAGGGGCUUCACAGUGCAGAGGUACCGGGUUCGAUUCCAGCUCCGGCCUUCCUGUGUGGAGUUUGCAUGUUCUCCCCGGGCCUGUGUGGGUUUUCUCCGGGUGCUCCGGUUUCCUCCCACAUUCCAAAAAUAUGCAUGGCAGGCUGUUUGAACACUCUAAAUUGUCCCUAGGUGUGAGUGUGAGCGUGGAUGGUUGUUCGUCUCUGUGUGCCCUGCAAUUGGCUGGCAACUGAUUCAGGGUGUCCCCCGCCUACUGCCCGGAGACAGCUGGGAUAGGCUCCAGCACCCCCCGCGACCCUAGUGAGGAUCAAGCGGUUAGGAAGAUGAAUGAAUGAAUGUUUCACCGAUGAUAAUUGUGGGGCUAAUUUUAAAUUGUUGUUGUGGAUCUACUGGCAACUCAUCACGAGAGCUGGGGGACUCAAGUAGAUUUAAGUUGUAUGACUUGUUCGAAACAACUCCUGAAAGACUCGAUUUGACUUUGAUUUGAACUUUCUUACAUUCUGAUUACAUACGAUAGAUUUCAUCUGUGAAAUGUAGGGAAGCUAGCUAGGUGAACCAUGAUGGUAAGCUAGCGAAGUUAGCCAGCAGUUCAGCUGACCAACAGCUGAUCGAAUUUUAACCAAACUCGAUGUUGUAACGGUGUCUCAGGAGUGUAAUCUUGAAACUAUGCCAUCAAAAAAAUGAUUGUUAUUAAACUAUAGACAUCUG